rnacentral:rRNA from 1 species
UACGAAGGGGGCUAGCGUUGCUCGGAAUCACUGGGCGUAAAGGGUGCGUAGGCGGGUCUUUAAGUCAGGGGUGAAAUCCUGGAGCUCAACUCCAGAACUGCCUUUGAUACUGAAGAUCUUGAGUUCGGGAGAGGUGAGUGGAACUGCGAGUGUAGAGGUGAAAUUCGUAGAUAUUCGUAAGAACACCAGUGGCGAAGGCGACUUUCUGGCCCGAUACUGACGCUAAGGCGCGAAAGCGUGGGGAGCAAACAGG